UGAUGCUGAACUCAGCCAAUGAGAUGGUCUCUUUCUGCAGAACUACAGCCUGAUGUUGAGGAGAAGGCUGUGCAGCAGAGAGGCUGCUUAGUCUUUUCAUUCUGCUGAACUUUGUUCAUCUGCUGUGUGACUUCAACACCUGAAACAUGUUCCUUUACCUGUUUGUACUUUUCUCUCACUGCAUAGCUUUGGGCUCCAUGAACAGCAUAAAGCAGGAACGUGCUGAAGAAGCUGUUACAGAGGAAGGAAACAUCAACCUGACCUGUACAUAUGAUGGUCUUAUCAACAAUAUCCAGUGGUACCGACAAUACCAGAGAUCCAGACCAGAGUUCCUGCUCUCCAUCACAGAGGGAGGAUCAGUUCAUGAAGCUGUGUCGGGAUUCUCAGCUCACAUUGACAAAACAGAGAAACGUGCAGAUCUGGAGAUCUCCUCUGCUGCAGUGACAGACUCUGCUGUGUACUACUGUGCUCUGCAGCCCACAGUGACAGGAAACACCAAAACUCUGUACAAAAACCUUUGGAGCAAAGACAACAGAAUACUCCACAACUCUGUGGACUUGAGUUACCUGAAACCUGAAGGAUUCUCUCAUUGUCUGCUGUUUGGAAAGGACUGA